CUAACCUACGGGAGGCAGCAGUGAGGAAUAUUGGUCAAUGGUCGGGAGACUGAACCAGCCAAGCCGCGUGAGGGAGGAAGGUACAGAGUAUCGUAAACCUCUUUUGUCAGGGAACAAAGGCGGGGACGUGUCCCCGGAUGAGUGUACCUGAAGAAAAAGCAUCGGCUAACUCCGUGCCAGCAGCCGCGGUAAUACGGAGGAUGCGAGCGUUAUCCGGAUUUAUUGGGUUUAAAGGGGGCGUAGGCGGGCUUUUAAGUCGGCGGUAAAAAUUCGGGGCUCAA
rnacentral:rRNA from 1 species